UGCGUAGGCGGCCUGACAAGUUGGGUGUGAAAUCCCACGGCUCAACCGUGGAACUGCGCUCAAAACUGCCAGGCUUGAGGGAGACAGGGGUGAGCGGAACUGAUGGUGGAGCGGUGAAAUGCGUUGAUAUCAUCAGGAACACCAGUGGCGAAGGCGGCUCACUGGGUCUCUUCUAACGCUGAGGCACGAAAGCUAGGGUAGCGAACAGGAUUAGAUACCCUGGUAGUCC
rnacentral:rRNA from 1 species